rnacentral:rRNA from 1 species
AGAGUUUGAUCCUGGCUCAGAUUGAACGCUGGCGGCAUGCCUUACACAUGCAAGUCGAACGGUAACGCGGGGCAACCUGGCGACGAGUGGCGAACGGGUGAGUAACGCAUCGGAACGUGCCCAGUAGUGGGGGAUAGCCCGGCGAAAGCCGGAUUAAUACCGCAUACGACCUACGGGUGAAAGCGGGGGACCGUAAGGCCUCGCGCUAUUGGAGCGGCCGAUGUCAGAUUAGGUAGUUGGUGGGGUAAAAGCCUACCAAGCCGACGAUCUGUAGCUGGUCUGAGAGGACGACCAGCCACACUGGGACUGAGACACGGCCCAGACUCCUACGGGAGGCAGCAGUGGGGAAUUUUGGACAAUGGGCGCAAGCCUGAUCCAGCCAUGCCGCGUGCGGGAUGAAGGCCUUCGGGUUGUAAACCGCUUUUGUCAGGGAAGAAACGCUCCGGGCCAAUACCCUGNGGUAAUGACGGUACCUGAAGAAUAAGCACCGGCUAACUACGUGCCAGCAGCCGCGGUAAUACGUAGGGUGCAAGCGUUAAUCGGAAUUA